rnacentral:rRNA from 1 species
CCUACGGGAGGCAGCAGUGAGGAAUAUUGGUCAAUGGACGAGAGUCUGAACCAGCCAAGUAGCGUGAAGGAUGACUGCCCUAUGGGUUGUAAACUUCUUUUAUAUGGGAAUAAAACGUUCCACGUGUGGGAUUUUGUAUGUACCAUAUGAAUAAGGAUCGGCUAACUCCGUGCCAGCAGCCGCGGUAAUACGGAGGAUCCGAGCGUUAUCCGGAUUUAUUGGGUUUAAAGGGAGCGUAGGUGGAUUGUUAAGUCAGUUGUGAAAGUUUGCGGCUCAACCGUAAAAUUGCAGUUGAAACUGGCAGUCUUGAGUACAGUAGAGGUGGGCGGAAUUCGUGGUGGAGAGGUGAAAUGCUUAGAUAUCACGAAGAACUCCGAUUGCGAAGGCAGUUCACUGGACUGCAACUGACACUGAGGCUCGAAAGUGUGGGUAUCAAACAGGAUUAGAUACCCUAGUAGUC